CCUACGGGAGGCUGCAGUGGGGAAUAUUGCACAAUGGGGGAAACCCUGAUGCAGCGACGCCGCGUGAGUGAAGAAGUAUUUCGGUACGUAAAGCUCUAUCAGCAGGUAAGAAAAUGACGGUACCUGACUAAGAAGCCCCGGCUAACUACGUGCCAGCAGCCGCGGUAAUACGUAGGGGGCAAGCGUUAUCCGGAUUUACUGGGUGUAAAGGGAGCGUAGACGGCAGCGCAAGUCUGGAGUGAAAUCCCAUGGCUUAACCAUGGAACUGCUUUGGAAACUGUGCAGCUAGAGUGCAGGAGAGGUAAGCGGAAUUCCUAGGGUAGCGGUGAAAUGCGUAGAUAAUAGGAGGAACACCGGUGGCGGAGGCGGCCUGCUGGACUGUGACUGACGUUGAGGCCCGAAGGCGUGGGGAGCAAACAGGAUUAGAUACCCGAGUAGUC
rnacentral:rRNA from 1 species